AAAUGUUAAUUUGUACAUUAAGCUGUUAAAUGCAUUUUAAAAUGAUACCUUUUACCUUUCUGCUUCAAGGUAAUGCACCCACAAGAACGAAGCACACCACACCAGCAGAAACUGGAGAAAAACACAGGACUGAAGAAGAAACAGGCAGGCUGGCAGGACAUGAGAGGAACAUACCAAUAA